CAACUACUCCCUCCGUUCCAAAUUACUCGUCGCAGAAAUGGAUGUAUCUAGAACUAAAAUACAUCUAGAUACAUCCAUUUCUGCGACGAGUAAUUCGGAACGGAGGGAGUAUUAA
rnacentral:pre_miRNA from 1 species